rnacentral:rRNA from 1 species
UACGGGGGGGGCAAGCGUUGUUCGGAAUUACUGGGCGUAAAGGGCUCGUAGGUGGCCAACUAAGUCAGACGUGAAAUCCCUCGGCUUAACCGGGGAACUGCGUCUGAUACUGGAUGGCUUGAGUUUGGGAGAGGGAUGCGGAAUUCCAGGUGUAGCGGUGAAAUGCGUAGAUAUCGGGAGGAACACCAGUGGCGAAGGCGACUACCUGGCCUGUUCUUGACGCUGAGGCGCGAAAGCUAGGGGAGCAAACGGG